rnacentral:rRNA from 1 species
AACGAACGCUGGCGGCAGGCCUAACACAUGCAAGUCGAGCGCACCUUCGGGUGAGCGGCGGACGGGUUAGUAACGCGUGGGAACGUGCCCUUCUCUACGGAAUAGCCUCUGGAAACGGAGAGUAAUACCGUAUACGCCCUUUGGGGGAAAGAUUUAUCGGAGAAGGAUCGGCCCGCGUUAGAUUAGGUAGUUGGUGGGGUAACGGCCUACCAAGCCUACGAUCUAUAGCUGGUUUUAGAGGAUGAUCAGCAACACUGGGACUGAGACACGGCCCAGACUCCUACGGGAGGCAGCAGUGGGGAAUCUUAGACAAUGGGGGCAACCCUGAUCUAGCCAUGCCGCGUGAGUGAUGAAGGCCUUAGGGUCGUAAAGCUCUUUCGCCUGUGAUGAUAAUGACAGUAGCAGGUAAAGAAACCCCGGCUAACUCCGUGCCAGCAGA